GCUUCUGCCUCAAAGAAGGGAAAGGAAAGGAAAACCACUGGAAUGUUUUUCAGACCAGACUCUGCUUUCAACAGAGGAAAAGAUGGAACAAGACCUUGUGGUUGGAUUCACCUGAAAUUCUCUUUACCCAAGGCUGAUAGCAUCUGAAAUCCUACAGUGCAACAUUAACACGUCAUUUCUUAAGUCUAUGUCCCAUGAAUUCAUUAGUGCUUACUCCACAAGAAUUGGGAUUAGGACUGUACCCCAAUUUAAUCCUACUCAGACUUUUGCAGAUAAGGAACUGGUACGCAGGAUGAGGUUGUCUCUUGUCAGCACAGGAGGAUUAAUUUAGCUUUCUGCCUCUCCCAUGUUAUUUAUACCAAUGUAUAGUCACUACAGAAGAGAGAAUAAAGCUGAGAUGAAAAAGUAUUCAAAGAAUUAAAUACAGCAUUGUGUUGCCCAUUACCCUAGGAUUAAACUAUUUUGGUUAUUAUAAUUUUGCUGGGAAUAUACAUGCAUAGACUUGAGCCCAUUCC